CGGGGCGUAGCUCAGUUGGUAGAGCGCGCGGAUGGGGUCCGUGAGGUUUCGCUGGUUCGAGCCCAGUCGCCCCGACCA
rnacentral:tRNA from 1 species